rnacentral:lncRNA from 1 species
UGGACGAGGCUUGGUCUGACAAGAACCCAUUCUUCCCCUCUGAUCCUUACGGGAAAGCUCAGGCUAGGUUUUGGGCUGAUUUCGUGGACAAGAAGGUAACCGCAUCCCUUUUGUGUCCUAUAUAAUAAGUCUUUGAUUAAAAAUUUCCAAUAGUUAGGGUUUAGAUGAAUUUGGGUUAAGUUUGCAAAUUGUUACUUUCAGAAAAAUUAUAGGAUUUAAAUCCGCAUAAAACAUUGUAUAUCAUGAAAUCAGGAUAGUGUACAUCUAAACCGCAUUUUAGAAUACUGGUUUUGUUUCUAGACUCAUCUUAAAGCUUAUUUGAUGUCUUAAAAGCAUUCUGACAAUUAUUUUAUCGUCUAAACUAAUAAUUCGAUGUUUAAUUACAAUGCGCAAUGGAUGUACAGUUUAGUGAUGCCCAGUUCAAGAUAUGGGGAAAGAAAGGUGAGGAACAAGCAGCAGGGGUGAAGGAGUUUAUUGAGGCAGUGAAGAUUCUUGAAGCUGAGCUUGGAGACAAACCUUACUUUGGUGGAGAUAGCUUUGGAUAUGUAGACAUUGCACUGAUUACAUUCUACAGUUGGUUCGGAGCAUACGAGAAGUUUGGUAACUUCAGCAUCGAGGCAGAGAGUCCAAAACUGAUUGCUUGGGC